rnacentral:rRNA from 1 species
CCUACGGGCGGCAGCAGUGGGGAAUAUUGGACAAUGGGGCAACCCUGAUCCAGCCAUGCCGCGUGUGUGAAGAAGGCCCUCGGGUUGUAAAGCACUUUCAGUGAGGAAGAACGCCUGGUGGUUAAUACCCAUCAGGAAAGACAUCACUCACAGAAGAAGCACCGGCUAACUCCGUGCCAGCAGCCGCGGUAAUACGGAGGGUGCGAGCGUUAAUCGGAAUUACUGGGCGUAAAGCGCGCGUAGGUGGCUUGAUAAGCCGGUUGUGAAAGCCCCGGGCUCAACCUGGGAACGGCAUCCGGAACUGUCAAGCUAGAGUGCAGGAGAGGAAGGUAGAAUUCCCGGUGUAGCGGUGAAAUGCGUAGAGAUCGGGAGGAAUACCAGUGGCGAAGGCGGCCUUCUGGACUGACACUGACACUGAGGUGCGAAAGCGUGGGUAGCAAACAGGAUUAGAUACCCUAGUAGUC